UACAUGUCUUUUAAAUACCUUUAGGGAUGGUGACUCAACCACUUCCCUGGGCAGCUUGUUCCAGUGCUUGACAACCCUCUCGGUGAAGAAAUUUUUCCUAACAGCUACCCUAAACCUCUCCUGGCGCAACUUGAGGCCGUUUCCUCUCAUCCUAUCACUAGUUACUUGAUACAAGAGACCAGCACCCACCUCGCUACAGCCUCCUCUCAGGUAGUUGUAGAGAGCAAUAAGGUCUCCCCUCAGCCUCCUUUUCUCCAGGCUAAACAACCCCAGCUCCCUCAGCCACUCCUCAUAAGACUUGUGCUCCAGGCCCCUCACCAGCUUUGCUGCCCUGGUUUAACCCCAGCCAGCAACUAAGCACCAUGCAGCCGCUCUAUCACUCCCCCCCUCAGCUGGACAGGGGAGAGAAAAUAUAACGAAAGGCUCAUAGGUCAAGACAAGGACAGGGAGAGAUGACUCAGCAAUUACCAUCACAGGCAAAACAGACUCGACCUGGGGAAAAUUUAAUUUAUUGCCAAUCAAACCAGAGUAGGGCAAUGAGAAGUAAAACUAAAUCUUAAAACACCUUCCCCCCCUGCCCCUCCCUUCUUCCCAGGCACAACUUCACUCCCAAAUUCUCUACCUAUCCCCUCCCAGCAGCGCAGGGGGAUGAGGAAUGGGGGUUGGGGUCAGGUCCCCACACCGUGUCUCUGCCGCUCCUUCCUCCUCAGGGGGAGGACUCCUCACAAUCUUCUCCUGCUCCAGCGUGGGGUCCCUCCCAUGGGAGACAGUCCUUCACAAACUGCUCUAGCAUGGGGCCCUUCCACGGGGUGCAGUCCUUCAGGAACAGACUGCUCCAGCGUGGGUCCCCCAUGGGGUCACAAGUCCUGCCAGCAAACCUACUCCACCGUGGGCUCCUCUCUCCAUGGGUCCACAGGUCCUGCCAUGAGCCUGCUCCAGUGCAGGCUUCCCAUGGGGUCACAGCCUCCUUCAGACACCUACCUGCUUCAGCGUGGGGUCCUCCACGGGCUGCAGGUGGAUAUCUGCUCCACCGUGGACCUCCAUGGGCUGCAGGGGGACAGCCUGCCUCACCAUGGUCUUCCCCACGGGCUGCAGGGGAAUCUCUGCUCCGGCGCCUGGAGCACCUCCUCCCCCUCCUUCUUCACUGACCUGGGGGUCUGCAGGGCUGUUUCUCUUACACGUUCUCACUCCUCUCUCUGGCUGCAGUUUCUGUGCCACAGCAACUUUUUUUUCCCUUCUUAAAUAUGUUAUCACACAGGCGCUACCACCAUCACUGAUGGUCUUGGCCUUGGCCAGUGGUGGGUCUGUCUUGGAGCCGGCUGGCAUUGGUUCUAUCUGACACAGGGGAAGCUUCUAGCAGCUUCUUACAGAAGCCACCCCUGUAAUCCCCCCACUACCAAAACCUUGCCACACAAACCUAAUAGAUUUGGACAUGCUCCAGCACCUCAAUGUCUUUCUUGUAGUGAGGGGCCCAAAACUGAACACAGUACUCGAGGUGCGGCCUCACCAGUGAUGAGUACGGGGGGACGAUCACUUCCCUGCUCCUGCUGGCCACACUAUUUCUGAUACAGGCCAGGAUGCUGUUGGCCUUCUUGGCCACCUGGGCACACUGCUGGCUCAUAUUCAGCCAGCUGUCAACCAGCACCCCCAGGUCUUUCUCUGCCGGGCAGCUUUCCAGCCACUCUUCCCCAAGCCUGUAGCGCUGCAUGGGGUUGUUGUGACCCAAGUGCAGGACCCGGCACUUGGCCUUGUUGAACCUCAUACAAUUGGCCUCGGCCCAUCGAUCCAGCCUGUCCAGAUCUCUCUGUAGAGCCUUCCUACCCUCAAGCAGAUCAACCCUGCCUCCCAACUUGGUGUCAUCUGUAAACUUACUGAGGGUGCCCUUGAUCCCCUCGUCCAGAUCAUUGAUGAAUUCCUCCUGCUAUUUCUUUUUGCCUGUCGCUUUUUAAAUUUUCUUUCUGUGUUUCUGUAUUGGGUUUGUGUGUUAAGGUUUUGGUAGUGGCGGUGCUGCAGGGGUGGCUUCUGUGAGAAGACACCAGGAGCUGUCCCCAUGGUGGACGGAGCCAGUUCCAGCCGGUUACAAGAGGGACCUGCUGCUGGCCAAAGCUGAGCCACAGUUCUUCAGGUGUGGUCUCACCAGCGCUGAGCAGAGGGGAAGGAUCAUUAGACUUUGCUACCACCCCAAGCAAGGUGACUUCACCAGAGACUGUAAAAGAAGCAGAGGUAUUCCUGUCCACUGUCCCAUCAGACUGGUGCACAAGGGAGAUGCCUGGCAACUGGCAGAAGACAGAGGAAGAGGAGGUGAGCUGUGCAACAUGGUUUUUAUAUCCACCUUGUAAAAUGAAAUAAUUUCCUAUGGCCAGAACUGGUUAUGAAAGACAUGUCUGUCCGUAGUAGAACUGGGUUUGAAAGAUAUGUGGAAAGAAGUUCUCACUUUAAUUAUGAAGGUCUAGCAUCUCUAUUUGUAGUGGGAACGCUUUGUGGGUAAAGGGAAUAUUUGCCUCCUUAUAAGGGGUUGGAACCCCCACCUGGGAGUAAAUGUGGUUUCAUAAUUAAGAAGCCAGGACGUUUUAUGUAGCUCCCUGUAAAUCUUUGGAAACAUAGAGGAAGCAACAUUUCCUGUCUCCUUUGCUAGCUUUCUCCAUUUCCCAUGAAACUGCUUAACCGUUUUGAGAUUUUAUCUCUACCACCCAACAUUACUGGCCUUUGCAAUCAGUUUCCUCAGAAAGGGUUCUGUAGUACCCUUUUCUACUAAUUGUUACAUAAGAUAAGGACAAUUUAAGUAUCAGAAACUUGCCUGUUCUUAGGGUCCCUAAAUCAAAUCAGUCUGAAGGAUCUUUCUACAGGUUAGAAGAAAGGAGAAGUCACUAUUCUUGUCACACAGCGCAGACAAAGUGAAGGGCACCUUUAAAGUCAAGAAGAGCUAACAGCAUACAGCUCAGUCAGCACUUCAGGGUACAAACUUAAGUUGAAAAAGAGAUCCUUCUGAAAUGGAUAAAUACCCUUGCCAUUCUACUGGAAGUGUACUCGAAAAGAGGCGGAAAAAACCACCCAUGGCAUUCUCAUCAAAACCAGUCCAGCUGCACUACAAGAACAUGUAAACCUUUAUUUCUGCACCUAGCCUUUCUUUUUUAGAUGUCUUUCAGCUAAAUAUGAUGUUCUAACUAAAGAUACCUCAGUGCAUUUCAAUAGGCAUGGGCUUAUGCAGAAAGACUUCUUAACCCUGGGCUCACAUCUGUUAUAAUGUGAUAUCCUGACAAAGAAAUUACAGAAAUAUUUUACAGGAAGUGUCAUCAAGAAGUCAUCUAGUCCACUUCCCUACUAUAAAUAUUUUUAGACCCAUUUAUAUAACUUUUUGAAUAAAGAGUGCAGUGAAUGUUGUAGAAAAUCA